AGUUACCUUCCAGCUUUAGAUCUUGGAUAGGUUAGUUUUCACAGGCAAGAGAAAACAGAGAGGACUGGGGGUGGGGGGGGAGUGUCACAUGGGAAGGUCAUGGGAAGGUACUUAGGUAAGCUGAAGAAGAGCAACAGAUUUCAGAGAAAAAAAAAGUAGUUAUAUGAUUUUUUUUUUAAAGAAGAAAUUUUCUGCCUAGAAUCCAUCAUGGUCCUUAUCUACUUUAAGUGUUGUCACCACUCUACUAAGUCACCCAAGCUCAAAACUUUAAUGUUGUAAUCUCCUUUAACCACAACAUGCGGUUGAUUAACAUGCCAAGUUAUCUGUUGGCCUCCACCUCCCAGACAGCAAGGGUUCUUGCCCCCUCUGAGACAGUCUGUCUCUUCAUGACUUCAGUCUAUUGCUGGGCACACUGUAUGAAUGAAUAAAAUUACAACGCAAAGAGAGGACCAAUGGCAUUUAUGAAUGUCUUUGUGAGGAAGUGUUGCAGUCAUCAGCCUCACUCUUCCAGAGUCAUCAAAGCCCAGGGGCAAGACAAAAGCCAAGAUGAUUGGUGAUGGUGGCUUGUGAUGCAGUGAAUAAUCUUGGUAUUUCUGAUGUCUGACCAACCUUGGUCAGGAGCUCAAUUGUGACUGCUUCAGCCACCUUCAUGGAAGUUGGAACAAACUGUUCUCAUCUACUUAUUCCACAGGAAGGGUGUGGGGGGAGGAAGUCUUCGAAUCCUUGGGGUAAACAUCCCCCUAACUCACGAAAGGAUUUAAGGCCUGUCAGCUACCCUCAACCUGGUUUAGCCAGUCCGCCAAGAUGGUUCUACCAAGAUGUGGCGGCUGGGCAUGCCGUAGUACAGCUUCUUGGAGUCAGAGGUGACAGAUGAACAACCCUAAAAAGAGCUUGGCAAGUCCUCAUACCAGAAGUGUUAGUCCUCCCUGAACAUUCCCAAACCCUGCCUAAUAAAUACCAGGCGAACAAAGAUAAUUUACAAAAGGAAGAGGAGUUCAAUUUUCAACAUGAUGAAAUUUUAGAUGCCUAAGAGACAUCCUCUUGGAGAUGCCUUGUAGGUAAUGCAGGACUAGAGUAAAGGAGAAGGAUUUGGGCCAUAUAUGAGAGAUCUGGGAGUCACAUAAAGAGAUUAUUUAACCUAUGAGACUUUAUGAGAUCACCAAAAGAAAAAUAGUAGAGAGGCUCUCUACAGGACCUUACUGGACACUCAAAAUUAGGGGUGGGGACAUGGCUACAUAAUGAUUUAGCAAGGGAGACUGAGAAGUGGAAUAUAUGUAGGGAAGAAAACUAAGAGACAACAGUGUCAUGAGAGCUGAGAAUAACAAUGUUAAAAGGUGCAGAGGUCAAGAAGAAAGAGGACUGAGAAAAAUCCAUGUAUUUAUCAAUUAAUACUUGCUGUUCAGUUUCCAUCAGGAACAGGAACCAGCCAACAAGAAGCCUAUCCUCUACCUCCACCAGAAUGGGAGUACCACAGAGCAGAGAAGGUAGAGCAAGUGCCUUGUAUGGUUCUCCCCCAUCCUUUCUUCAGACACCAGCUUCCUCUUCCCUGCUCCUGGCUGGACAUCAAUGCCCCAUCCCAUUCCACCACCUGGCCCCUCUUUUUAAGGAGAUAGUCUGUCUGUGCUCUGCCUUGGUCAGACCACUUCUGGAGCACUGCUCAGUUCUGAGAGUUACUGUUUGAUAAGGGAAGAGAUCCCAGAGGAUAACUAUGAUGGUAAAGACUUCCUUGAUUGCUUUAGAGCCUUGUCAUAUCAGAUCAAUUUAAACAGACAAAAACAAUUUGAGGUUUAUCCUGGAGAAAAGACAAAGGGGAAAUUUUAUUGCUGUCUUUUAAAUAUUUAAAGGCCUGUCAGAUGGAAAAGGAAUUAGAUUUGUUUUGUUUGUCCAGAAAAAUAGGAUCCACAGGUAGAAGUUGUGGGGGUCAGUUUAGGCUUGAUGUCAGACAACUUCCUAAUAAAGCUAUUCAGCAGUAGAAUGGG